CAAGGGAUAGCCGAAAACCUUUAAAAAAGAGUAGGCA
rfam:Chitinophaga pinensis DSM 2588, complete genome.